ensembl:lncRNA fibroin heavy chain-like
GUUGCAGAAAAAUGGUUAAAAUAAGCAAAAAUUGGUUCAAAUUAUUAAAAAAAAAGAAAAUCAGUCAAAAUGUUUCAAAAAUAUUGGCAAUUAAAAAUGAAAAUAGGGAAAAUAUCCAACAUUUAUUUAACAUAGUUGGGAAUGAGAAACAAAAACACUAUUUCACAAUAAGACGUCAUCAAGAAUCAUGUUUUCAAGCAAUUGUUUGAUCAUUGCCUUGAAAAUUAAAUAAAUAAAUGUAUUUUGUGGGAAAAAGACAUAUUUUCAACCAAGCUGACGAUCGUCGUGGAAACUGUAACCUGUGUGUGUGUGUGUGUGUGUCCUCAGGUGAUGGAGAUAGACUUCAGUGGUUCUUUGUCCUCAGAGGGCAGGACUGGUUAGUGGGAGUGUAUAAAAAAUAAAAAGCCCUAUAAAAGCCAUGCAGGGCUUUAAUCUCCCAGUCCUCCCAGUGCAGCUGUUUAUCCACUCCAUCAUCAUGCUUGUUCGAGCUGUGCUGCAGACGUCCCUCCUCCUCUGGUUGGCUCAGCAGACUCUGCAAGGCGCUGUUGCAGGAGUCCAACCUCAGAGUGUGUCAUGGGGACAAGGACUGCCAGCUAGAGGUCUGGGUGUUGGAGUGAAACCUGGAGACGUCAGCGCUCUCGGAGCCGUGGCAAAUCGAUUUGAAAGCAAAGCAAUGAAAGCUGGACUGGGACGUUACGGCGGCGCUCAGCUUGGACUUGGAGGAUACAGGACUCUUGGAUUAGGAGGGAGAGCUGGUAUGAGACAUGGCGGCUACGGGGUUCAAGGAGUCUACGGUGCUGGUCUUGGUACAGGAAUGGGUCUAGGGACUGGACUCACGAACGGGCUUGGUUUGGGUUUGGGUCAGGGUGGAAAACGAGUCUAUGGGACUGGCCUGGGAACUGUACCUGGAUAUGGAGCUUUGGGAGCGAUUGGCUAUCCCGGGCUUCGUCCUGGACACUCACAGUAUCCCAGUGGACAAGGGUCCAAGCAGCCAAAAACGGGUUUGGGUCCAGCUGAGACGGACAACCUGAGCCAAACUGUUCCAGAUCUUAGGAGAGAAAGGAUCAGAGCUGGAGUUCCCACAAUUCGAAAACCAAACAAAGGGCUUGGACCUGAAAUUCAAGGUCUACUCAGGCCAAAUGUUCCUGAAUCGAAUUACCAGAGAGAGCGCAAAAGUAUUAAUUUUUUAAAUCGUGGUGAAUCCACGACUCCUCUUAACGUACACACCACACACCGUAGAGAAAGCCAUGAAUCUACAGCCCUUAAGAUUAAAGGUUUUACACCAGCAGCUGAAAGUGCAGGAAGACAACCUUCGGUUAAUCAAGAACCCAUCAGACGUACAACCUCGGCUUCUUCUCAGACACCGAUCAUCAGAAACAACGAUCGGUUCCCCCUUAUUAAUCUGCGACCUCCAAACUGUGGACCGUCCGUUCAUGGAUCUGAUAGAUCCGAACUUCUUCGGCAAAAACUUGUUGGUUCACAAAGUUCCGUUCCUCAGCUGAACGUUGGCGUAGUCAGUCAACAAAAUGCUCACAGAGAUCAGCAACUACUUCCACAAGAUGUGAGGAGCAAUAUGUUCUCUACUCAGAAGUCCAGAGGGUUUUCAUCCACAGUUAUAGACAGGCAUGGCAGAGAGGGACCUUUAAGUAAGGACGCAGAAGGACCUGGGACUCGUAGGACUUUUACUUUGGAGCAGCAUCCACAUGAGUCGAUCAGUCUUCCAAGAAGUGGAAAUCCAGAACCUCUGAUUCCAGGAAUCACCUCCAUCGCCGGCCUGGAAGUCCAGCCCUCGACCACAGAAGGUUGGGAUGUGAAAGAAUUUUCCCAAAGUGUGCAUGACGUCAAAAAGUUAAAAACUUCCCCAGGGCAGGAUGGAACGAACGCCAAGGGAACAAGUUAUGGUGGCGGAGUAGGAAACUACCUGGGAACUGGCCUGGGUGCUGGAGGCUAUGGAGCAGCUUUGGGACAAGGCGGCUAUCUGGGAGGAGCUGCUGGAAAACUGGCAGCAGGAUACGGAGAUGGAAUGACUGGAUAUCUCGGACCCAUGGCAGGUUACGGGAAUGGUUACGGGGAUGCUUAUGGAGCUGGCCUCGGUACAGGAGGAUUAGUUGGUCCCCUGCAGGGAGCGUAUGGAGGAGCUGCUCAGGUGCCUUUUGCCAACACUCCAGUCCUUCCUGUGGGACUAGAAGGUGAUGGUGGUUAUCCGUACAACACUCAGCAGCUCAGUUUGACCGCUGAAGCUGCCAAAUCUGCCAGUAAAUAUGAAGCUGGUCCAGGAUUCAGAGCUCAACAAGCUGCAGGUUUGUUGGGACCGAAUCAAGACGUCUUGGGGGAGCAGACCGGAAAAUAUGGCGGUGUGAACGCAGCCCUUGGUAACGGUUACAAAGCCUAAUACAAACAACCUGGAGGUCCUCAGCUGGAUGGUCGAGCUCUGUACUACGUUGAGUGUAAUUCGUUUGUAAGGCUUUCCCUCUGUAUGUUUUUUUUUCUAUUUUGUUUUACAGUAUUGUUUGUUCCUCACUUUGUUUACUUCUGUCUCGUUUGUCUGAAACCUCGUGUAACCUCCUCCCAUAUCAUUUCUACAUGUCUUGUCGAGUUAUAAACACAUGUUACAUGCAGAAGUAGACAGAUUUUGUGUCAAUAUUCAAAAAAUUGGUUGUACUGUUGUGAUGACUCAGCAGUUUUAAAGACAAUAAAUGUCAUUGCCAAAUGUUGUAC